rnacentral:rRNA from 1 species
GAUGAACGCUGGCGGCGUGCCUAAUACAUGCAAGUCGAACGGAAAGGCCCUGCUCUUGCGGGGCGCACGAGUGGCGAACGGGUGAGUAACACGCGUGUAACCCGCCCCUGUCUUUGGGAUAACUCUAGGAAACUGGGGCUAUUACCGGAUAGGAGCUCUUGCUGCACGGUGGGGGUUGGAAAGUUUCGGCGGUUGGGGAUGGACUCGCGGCUUAUCAGCUUGUUGGUGGAGUAGUGGCUUACGAAGCCUUCGACGGAUAGCCGGCCUGAGAGGGUGACCGGCCACAUUGGGACUGAGAUACGGCGCAGACGCCAACGGGAGGCAGCAGUGGGAAGUAUUGCGGAAUAGGGGGAAGCCUGAUGCAGCGGCGCCGCGUGCGGAAUGACGGCCUUCGAGUUAUGAACAGCUUUCGCAUGUGACGAGGCGUGAGUGACGGUAAUGAGUAAGAAAGCACCGGCUAACUACGUG